UGGGGAAUAUUGCGCAAUGGGGGAAACCCUGACGCAGCGACGCCGUGUGAGGGAAGAAGGUCUUCGGAUCGUAAACCUCUGUCAGAAGGGAAGAAGUGCAUGAGGUCUAAUAGGCCUUGUGUUUGACGGUACCUUCAGAGGAAGCACCGGCUAACUCCGUGCCAGCAGCCGCGGUAAUACGGAGGGUGCAAGCGUUAAUCGGAAUCACUGGGCGUAAAGCGCGCGUAGGCUGUUUGGUAAGUCGGACGUGAAAGCCCUCGGCUCAACCGAGGAAUUGCGUUCGAUACUGCUGAACUUGAGUCCUGGAGAGGGUGGCGGAAUUCCGGGUGUAGGAGUGAAAUCCGUAGAUAUCCGGAGGAACACCGGUGGCGAAGGCGGCCACCUGGACAGGUACUGACGC
rnacentral:rRNA from 1 species